GCAGCAGCUUGGUGGUAGAGCUCCCACUUCUUACGUGGGAAGACCUGGGUUCGAUUCCCAGCUGC
rnacentral:tRNA from 1 species